GACGAACGCUGGCGGCGUGCUUAACACAUGCAAGUCGAACGGUGAAGCGCCUUCCUUUUUGGUGGGUGUGGAUGAGUGGCGAACGGGUGAGUAACACGUGAGUAACCUGCCCCCUUCUUCUGGAUAACCGCAUGAAAGUGUGGCUAAUACGGGAUAUUCUGGGUCUGUCGCAUGAUGGGUCUGGGAAAGAUAUUGUUUCGGUGGGGGAUGGGCUCGCGGCCUAUCAGCUUGUUGGUGGGGUGAUGGCCUACCAAGGCGGUGACGGGUAGCCGGCCUGAGAGGGUGGACGGUCACACUGGGACUGAGACACGGCCCAGACUCGUACGGGAGGCAGCAGUGGGGAAUAGUGCACAAUGGGCGCAAGCCUGAUGCAGCGACGCCGCGUGAGGGAUGGAGGCCUUCGGGUUGUGAACCUCUUUCGCCAGUGAAGCAGGCCUGCCUCGUUUGUGGGUGGGUUGACGGUAGCUGGAUAAGAAGCGCCGGCUAACUACGUG
rnacentral:rRNA from 1 species